GACGAACGCUGGCGGCGUGCCUAACACAUGCAAGUCGAACGGGGUAAAGACUUCGGUUUUUACUUAGUGGCGAACGGGUGAGUAACGCGUGAGAAACCUGCCUUCCAGUGGGGGACAACAGUUAGAAAUGACUGCUAAUACCGCAUAAUGUUUUCGAGGGGCAUCCCUUGAAAACCAAAGCUUAAUGUGCUGGAAGAUGGUCUCGCGUCUGAUUAGCUAGAUGGCGGGGUAACGGCCCACCAUGGCGACGAUCAGUAGCCGGUCUGAGAGGGUGAACGGCCACAUUGGGACUGAGAUACGGCCCAGACUCCUACGGGAGGCAGCAGUGGGGAAUAUUGGGCAAUGGGGGAAACCCUGACCCAGCAACGCCGCGUGAAGGAAGAAGGCCUUCGGGUUGUAAACUUCUUUUAGCAGGGACGAAGAACGUGACGGUACCUGCAGAAAAAGCAACGGCUAACUACGUGCCAGCCGCCGCAGUAACAC
rnacentral:rRNA from 1 species